UACGUAGGGUGCAAGCGUUAAUCGGAAUAACUGGGCGUAAAGCGUGCGCAGGCGGUGAUGUAAGACAGUUGUGAAAUCCCCGGGCUCAACCUGGGAACUGCAUCUGUGACUGCAUCGCUGGAGUGCGGCAGAGGGGGAUGGAAUUCCGCGUGUAGCAGUGAAAUGCGUAGAUAUGCGGAGGAACACCGAUGGCGAAGGCAAUCCCCUGGGCCUGCACUGACGCUCAUGCACGAAAGCGUGGGGAGCAAACAGG
rnacentral:rRNA from 1 species